ACCAGUCUUGUAAACUAGCGAUGUGGCACGAGAGGCUACGGCGGUGAGCGCUACGAAUGGGACGAAUUGCGAAACUGCACAUCAUCGUACCGGUUCGGUUACGAAUCGAGAACACGGCGCCGUACUGGCCCCGCUGUUCGACGGAAGACAUCCUUAGCGUGAUUUUGCCUGCAGUUUCGUACUCAAGAAUUUAAUAUCAAACACCAA